rnacentral:rRNA from 1 species
CCUACGGGUGGCUGCAGUGAGGAAUAUUGGUCAAUGGGCGCGAGCCUGAACCAGCCAAGUAGCGUGAAGGAUGACUGCCCUACGGGUUGUAAACUUCUUUUAUAAAGGAAUAAAGUGAGGCACGUGUGCCUUUUUGUAUGUACUUUAUGAAUAAGGAUCGGCUAACUCCGGGCCAGCAGCCGCGGUAAUACGGAGGAUCCGAGCGUUAUCCGGAUUUAUUGGGUUUAAAGGGAGCGUAGAUGGGUUGUUAAGUCAGUUGUGAAAGUUUGCGGCUCAACCGUAAAAUUGCAAUUGAUAGUGGCAGGCUUGAGUACAGUAGAGGUAGGCGGAAUUCGUGGUGUAGCGGUGAAAUGCUUGGAUAUCAGGAAGAACUCCGAUUGCGAAGGCAGCUUACUAAACUGCCACUGACAUUGAUGCUCGAAAGUGUGGGUAUCAAACAGGAUUAGAUACCCGUGUAGUC